CCUACGGGUGGCAGCAGUGAGGAAUAUUGGUGAAUGGGCGCGAGCCUGAACCAGCCAAGUAGCGUGAAGGAUGACGGCCCUACGGGUUGUAAACUGCUUUUAUGAAGGAAUAAAGUGAGGCACGUGUGCCGUUUUGUAGGUACUGUAUGAAUAAGGAUCGGCUAACUCCGUGCCAGCAGCCGCGGUAAUACGGAGGAUCCGAGCGUUAUCCGGAUUUAUUGGGUUAAAGGGCGCGGAGCGGGGUUGUUAAGACAGGUGGGAAAGUCGGCGGCUCAACCGUAACAUUGCACGUGAUACUUGCAUCCUUGAGUCCACUUGACGUAGGCGGAAUUCGUGGUGUAGCGGUGAAAUGCUUCGAUAUCACGAAGAACUCCGAUUGCGAAGGCAGCCUACUACACUGCUACUGACACUGAUGCUCGAAAGUGUGGGUAUCAAACAGGAUUAGAUACCCCUGUAGUC
rnacentral:rRNA from 1 species